rnacentral:rRNA from 1 species
UACAGAGGUCCCGAGCGUUGUUCGGAUUCAUUGGGCGUAAAGGGUGCGUAGGCGGCGGGGAAAGUCUGAUGUGAAAUCCUGGGGCUCAACCCUGGAACUGCAUUGGAUACUUCCUUGCUAGAGUACUGGAGAGGAAACUGGAAUUUACGGUGUAGCAGUGAAAUGCGUAGAGAUCGUAAGGAAGACCAGUGGCGAAGGCGAGUUUCUGGACAGUACUG